rnacentral:lncRNA from 1 species
GCAAAACAAGCAUAGGUGGCGGGGCGAUCCGAAUCCACUUGUGGGAUAGCUUUCUUGAAUGUAAGCACAAGACAAAAGGGAAACAAGGUAGAUUUAGUGGUUAGUCCCUAGUCCUCACAUUUUCGUUUGUUCGUUCAAUGUGUUAUUUGAGAAUUUUCAUUUUCUUUCUGGACUGCACUUUUAAAUGGGACUGGGACUGGCGUUUAGUCCCGGUUGAAUAACCGUUGAAAUUGUACGGGCAGGGUAUGACUACGAGAAGGAGAUUGAUAUAAUGCAACAGUAACAAAUUAGGCCUCAUUAAGAAGUAUUACUUCAAAUAAACUCGUUUACCAAAUUAGACUUUUGUGCGAGGAUAUUUUGCUUAAUUUACCGAGGUUUCUUCUUUUCAUGUUGUAGAAAAGCAGUGCUUUUCAAGGGCAUAUCAAAGUCCAGAGUAGUAGCGAGGUAUGUUUCUUAUAACGUCUCGACAUUUUACGAUGGAUGAGGAAGCAGAGUUAUUUUUAUUUUUAUCUUAUCUAUAGUAUUUAAGGAAGGCGAGUUAUUCUAAAUAUGUUUUGAGGAAAAAUGCAGACACCCAUCACAAUGGGAGAUAGGAAGCUUAGGAUAAAUCUUCACAAUCCGGCUCCCCCCCCAAACAAGGCAUAUGAGGCUUCAACCAAAUUAUCUCCUUAUAGGUACAGAAACAAAAUCAUUUUAUUGAGUGAAACUUCAUGUUGCCUAGAUAUUUAGUUACAUUUCUACAGCAUAGACAUGAAUGGUAUGCAGAAGCAAUGAGAAGCAUGGGACUGUCUGUUAUCUCCUCCUGCUUUCAUGGCUUUGUCACCCACAUUGAUAUAAUCAACCGUCAUGUAUACGUAAUUUUCCAAAAAAAAAAAAAACAAACAAAAUAUCAGAAAGAAAAUGAAAAUUUAUACGCUUCCAUCUCACCACUCAAAAACCCCGUUUCAAUUCGUUAUUGAUCUUACUUUCAGCUCCGGAUCCGGACCCAUUCUAGGUAGAGAGGAAAGGCAAUGGAGGUGUGCAGAAAAUCAAACUGCUUCCAGCUCUCUCUCCACUACACAUUCUUGGCAAAACUUCCCUUCCGCUGCCGCCGUUGUCACAGGCCAAAGGAUUGAAAUCGCAACGGCUCGCAAUGACUGACCGGAAGCUAGGGUCUGUUGUGAUGGCCUGGUCAAGUCCUGUUACGUACUGCUGAGAGAGAGAAGAGAACUUGGUUAUUGAACGCUCUUGAGAUGGUCUCUGGUAACUAAGACUGACCCAAGGUUGUUGGUCUUAAUUGUAAGGAAAUGUGCCAUUAUUAAGGUAUCCCAUUAACCCAAAUGGUUGUAAAAAUGUUGGACUUGAAGAGGAAAGCUGAGGCUUGGUGAAGGAAAUUUGGGGGUGAAGAGAGGCAUGUUGAGGUGAGGGGAUGACGGAAGUGAGAUCCAAAAGUGUGGUUGGGAAACGGAUUAUUGUCGGAAGUGUUGGGACGGCGUAGAAGGGUGGGCUCUGAUAGUGAAGUACUGUCAAGAGCGUGAAGUUUGAGCGGGGAAGGUGGGUGGAUCGGCAAUGCGGUGGGAAGUUGAAGUGACAGGGGGUGGUGGGGAGGGUUGAGGAGCCUGAGAGUGAGUAGCAUGGAGGACGAGGAGGAGGUGGGGGAGCGCCAUUGCGGGGGCUCGAAAAGGGAAAGUGGGUGUGAUUGUGGGUGCCCUCAUAGGGUGUGAUCAAGAUGUGGACAUUGUCAUCUGCACAUCUUUGAAACCUAAAUGUGAAAAGAACAGUAAAGUUAACAUUAUGCAUAUUAAAGAAUAAAUAAAUAAAUAAAAAGUUUACGAGUCGUAUGAAAACAAGCCAUUUUUACGAAAAAAGACAAAGUGUUUUGAGGUUUUUGAAAAUGAUCCUCCUAAAAAAAUAUGGAUGAUGAAAGAUGAGUUGUAAGCAAAACAUGCAUCGAUAAUAGGAGUAACUAUGAUGACAACACUGCAUUGCAACAGUAAUAUAGUAUGGACUAACAAAACGCUGUGGAUUUAGAUUAAAUGGAUAUUGGAUGGGAGACCACUUGACCUAUUAUGGAUAUCAAACGUGGUUUUGUCAUUUGGGGAUAAUACUAGGCAGAGCAUACAAAAAGUUAGAAGCGAGAUGAUACUGUUUUAUGACCGGGCAUGCCGGUUCGCAACUGUUGCAACGAUAGUUUAGUACGCUCGAGGGCACGGAUGCCUUUUAGCAAUUUUCGCCCUAUUUCCUCCAUGGCAUCCAUCAUCAUCUGCAAACCAAUUUCAAGGAAUAUUUGUUUAGUACUAAACAAACAUAUAUAUGUAUUUGUCUUGAGUAUGAGUAAUGUGCCUGAUGAUGCAUUUGGUGUAAUUACGUGGGAACAUUUCAUUGUGAUGGGUUGCACAUAAGGGUUACUCACAUUAGAACAAAUGCUGUCAUAGCCACCUAUGGAAUAUUUUUAUAAUUUAUUUGCAAAAAUCUAAACAACAGCUGCCUUCAAUUUUUUGUUUUACAAAAAGUUUAAAAU